UACGUAGGGGGCGAGCGUUGUCCGGAUUUAUUGGGCGUAAAGAGCGUGUAGGCGGCCAGGUAGGUCUGCUGUGAAAACUCGAGGCUCAACCUCGAGACGUCGGCGGAAACCAUCUGGCUAGAGUCCGGAAGAGGAGACUGGAAUUCCUGGUGUAGCGGUGAAAUGCGCAGAUAUCAGGAGGAACACCGGUGGCGAAGGCGGGUCUCUGGGCCGAUACUGACGCUGAGACGCGAAAGCGUGGGGAGCGAACAGG
rnacentral:rRNA from 1 species